UACGUAGGGGGCUAGCGUUGUCCGGAAUCAUUGGGCGUAAAGAGCGUGUAGGCGGUCCGGUAAGUCCGCUGUGAAAGUCGGGGGCUCAACCCUCGAAUGCCGGUGGAUACUGUCGGGCUAGAGUGCGGAAGAGGCGAGUGGAAUUCCUGGUGUAGCGGUGAAAUGCGCAGAUAUCAGGAGGAACACCUAUUGCGAAGGCAGCUUGCUACACAAUCAUUGACACUGAGGCACGAAAGCGUGGGGAGUCAAACAGG
rnacentral:rRNA from 1 species